ACACUUCAGCAGUGCAUCUACUAAAACUAGAACAUUCUAGAGAAGAUUAGCAUGGCCCCCUGCGCAAGGUUGACAUGCAAACUUGUGAAGCGACCCAUAUUAUU
ensembl:snRNA U6 U6 spliceosomal RNA